rnacentral:lncRNA from 1 species
CAUAUGUAACAAACCUGCACGUUGUGCACAUGUACCCUAGAACUUAAAGUAUAAUAAAAAAAAUUCAAGACCUUGUGUGAAACAAAGAUCUCAAAAUCGCAGGUCACAGCCAAAUGUGACCAAGAUGUAUUUAAGUUGGGGCCAUAUCACAUUUUAAGAAAAUGAACCAGCAUAUUAAAUUUAGUAGGUUUCACAUACAAAUCUAGAUCUCCAGUUUCUCUAGAAAAAUUGUGAAGUCUAGCAGCACCAGGCCUGUGUUCUUGAAUAACAGCAAUCAAUUGAACCAGAUGAUCAGCCUAGUGGUUUGCCAUAGAACUCACUAUUCCCAGGGGCAUUUAUCAUACAGCUUGCAUUUUUUUUCAUUCUGAGUUUAAAAUAUAUUUUUUACCUCUUAUUUAUUUUAUGUUAUAUGCUUACACCAUAGUUCCCUAACCAUACAGAAAGUGUGAUACAUACCUACAAUUGAUUUUUCUCCCAUCCACCCUCUUCUGUAGGCAUCUGAGUUGUCAACCACUGCCCUGAAAACAAUUUUUAGUUAAAUGAGGCUGCACCAGUCCCGUGUAACCACUAGAUGGAGUCUAUUUGGCCUUGCUUGUUUCAGCUGCUCCUCAAUGUUUUGAUAACCUGAUAACCACACCAGAGCUGGUCUACAGACAAAAGGUUUACAGAAUCAAUAGUACGAUUUUCUUUUCCAGUAGUUUUCAGGGCUAAAUGUCACUCUGGUAAAAUUUUCCAUUAUAAUUUGUAAAUCUAAAUAUAUAUGUAUGAGAAUAUGCAUGGGAAAACAUAUGAGUUCAUAAUCACUCAAAUAAAGUAUUAUUGGAACUCCAAAACAGAAGGCAUUUGAUACUGCUAUUUCAGGGUUCACCUAGUUUUUAUCAACUUCAGGUGGAAAAUUAUCAAAGAAGAAAACAGGUAUUAUUUUUAUGGAAUGACAUAUUCUUAUCCUACCAUAAAUGUCUGAGUGUAGAGUUACAAUUUCUAUUAUUAGCAAAAGGGAAAAUAUUUUAAUAUAGGUUGUUUAUAAUAAAUAGUUUUUCAACUGAAGAAAAGUUAACCAUGUGCCGUUCACCCAAUUCACAUUCAUCUUUGCACCUUCUUAAAUUUGUUUUUAAAUUUGUCAAUAACUUGAUGGUUUUACACAAGGAUAGACCAGUAAAAUUGAUUUUCAGUCUGACAUCAAGGGCAAUACAGAUCCCAGGGGAGCAAGGCCAGCUAGCAUGAGGAUACUAUGCUACCAAUGUGUGAAUUACUGGGCUGCGAAGGAAGCCUAGAGGAAAUGAAAAAAUGUAUUUAUUUAGAUAUAACAAUGUGUGACUCUUCCCACUAGAAAUUAGAUGAAUCAUUUUGGUACUAAUUUAAAGCCAUUUUAACACAUAAAUGUCCUGUCAUUGGUUCAAUUUAUGUAGUAUCAGCUGUAUGUCCUAAACUGAGGUUAAGUCUACAGGUACAAAAAUAAGAAGGAAAUGGUUGGUCCUUACACCAAAGAAAUUUGGAGUCUGGAAAAAAAAAAUCACAUACAGGAAUAAUAAUUGUAAAGAAAAUGCAACAACUGAAAUUUAUAUAUUAUAAAAUGGUAUGCACAUAUAUUUGGUUUAUAAAUAACAUAAAUAUAACAUAUAAUGCAUCAGACAGAAGUAAAAGCUUUAAAUUUCAGUUAUAAAAUGAAAACAUAUUGCUAUGAAUAAUGAAAACUAAAUUAAUAAAAAAUUUUAUGUUAUCAUUCUGGAAAAUCUUUCAAAAACAGUCUUUGGGGUAGUAUAACUUUGUGACCAGAUGCUCAUAGCUCAAAUAUAAAGAUUAGUCAAAAUUGGCAAAAAGCUAUGUUCUACAGAACAAAUUAUCACUUGCUUCACAAAUAGCAAGUGUGCUCACCUAAGGAAAAUCAUGCUUGUACGAAAAAAGAUAGUUCCCUAGUUUCCAAAUUGUAGUAAAAAUGCAGUGAUCAUGGGCAACUUCAAAACCACAUCAAAGAAAACUGUAUGAAAAAGCAGACAGGGAAUGCAUAUUUUCAAAAUGCCACAAUGUUACAUUGCAAACCCUGGUCUAAACCGUAACAAAAAAUAAAACUAAUUUAAAAACCAAUUAUAAUAUCUGAGGAAACAGAUUACUAAAAGUAUGGAUAAAUGAAUUGUUCUUGAGAAUAUGUAUAAUUUCCAUAGAAAGAGUUAUAUAAAAUACUUGCACCUUACUUUUAAACAUAUUAAUCAUACACAUUUUUGUUUGUUUUACUUGUACACAUACAGGCAGCCAUUGAAAAGAUUAAAAUUUUAACUACAAUGAACAACUUAUUCUUUAGUCCAUGCAUUAACUAUGCAUUCAGGUAAAUAUCUGUGAAAAUAAUCAGUUAUUCUAAAACUGCUUAAGAUCUGGAAUGAUAGUAAAACUAUCUUUUUUGGAAGAGAAUUUUUCAGGAAUAUAAAUAUUUUCAUAUAACAUAAGAAGCUUCUAGAAAUGUAACAUUUUUAGACAGUUACAAUUUAUUAGAUACAGCAUUGAAAUAAUUUUCAUUGAAGAUGAUAUUAUGCUAAGCCAAUUUAUUUUGAGAUAUGUCUCUUAAAACCAGGAAAGUUAGAGAUGUUAUCUAAAAAAGAAAAAUCUUUCUUUUAAAGAUGAAAACAUUACAUUUACACUUACAAGUAAAAUGUAUUAUUAUUUAUCUAAAACACAGAGGAAUACUUAUUUUAUAUUUAAGAAUCGCAUUGUAUUAAAUUUUUCAAGAACAAUUACAAAACGCUAUCUUACAUUCAAAAUAGUUAUCUGAUAGUGGUCUAGAAAACAUUUACUAGCACAUUUCUUCUCAAAUAAUUUUCUUCAAAUGAAAGAGUAAAUACCAUUACUCAGAAUUAUCAUUUUUCUCAUUACCAGUUUCUUCACACAUGGGUUUCAAUCAAUAUUUAGUCAUUUUCAGACUAUGUAUUCACAAGCAAAGUGAAAUAGAUAAUUAUUUAAUCCCUUUAGUUCAAGCUCAAAAUAAUCAGUAUUUCAAUAAUCUUUGCUUUCAAGACUACUGUGAUUUUCAGACUGUAAUUUCACAGAAAAUUAGUUAAAUCCUGUAUUUCCCUAUGUAUAUGUGCUCAGUCUUGAUAAGGAAUAUUGUCUUCCAUUUCCUUGAUACUUAUGUUAAAAUUUACAAGAAAAUCAUCAGAAUUCAUCACAUCUUGUAAAGCAUAUUUUGUUAAUUUUAAAACAGUAUUUCUGUGUAACAGGCCAUUGUGGACAGAGAAAAUAAUUCUACGUCAAGGAGAAGUCCAAGGUCUAAAAGAAUGGAAAAUGCAAUUGAUGCCUGUUAUUAACACACAACAGGACUAGGGUGCAUGCAAUAAAAAGGAAAGAAAAUACACAGACAAAGAAUAAUUAAGGAUUGCAUCCACUUUUUACCAUUUUAACAUCUCUCCACUAUAGACAUUAAUAAUUGGGUAAUUGUAACUUUCUCCUGCUUUUACUCACUGGAGAGUUGCUGCCAAUAUCUCUAAUCAUCACAGCAUGUGCCAUUUGGCUGAAAAAGUGAAGGCAGUUUAGUAUAGAGAGAGAAAACAUUCAGGAUGAAGUGGGUUGUGAGAUGAACUGGAAAGGCAUGAAGAAACAAUAUUAGACAUGAUACAGAGUCUUGUUAUGCCCAUCGAGUUUAGACUAACCCGAAAAACAAUGUGUAAUAAUUGAAAAAUGUUCAUCCUCUUUAAAAGUAAGUGCUUUCCACAUUCUUAAAAUGUAAUGAUUAUUGCAUAAACUAGAAUCAUUAAUGUAAUGAUUAUUGCAUAAACUCGAUUAUUGCGUAAUAGGGGUAAAAAUAAAUAAGCUUAUUUGAGAAAUAUUAAGAAUGGGGCCACAGUUUGGGUUUUAGCAACUGAUUGGAAAGUGAUGCCAUUCACAUUGGACACGUUUAAAUUUGAGACGCUAGUGGAACAACCAUGUAUAGACACCUACUCGGCAAUCCUGCAUAUGAUCUCAACAUCAGAAGAGAGAUGUGGGCUGAUGACACAGAACUGAGAAUAGCCAGCGUUGCCACUGGGAGUAACCAUCACAUAUGUGGCAAAAAAGGCCAUUGGCGCAGAUAUAAUCACCCAGGCGGGAUGUGUAAAAUGGAAAAAGAAGGCAACCUAGAAGCAGGAUUCAACGUAUCAGAUACAGUAAUGAAGACAAUAAGAAAUUGGAUUGAUCCAGGUCUGGAGUUUUGCCACAGAGUGAAAUGGAACAACAAUAUGCAGGAGAAGUGAGGAUACUGAAUUCUACUUGAAAAUUAUACAGAAACAAUUUCUUAGAAUGCUCACAAAAGACCUGAAAACAUGGGGAGGAAGCAGGGCAUUUACAGCUUAUAACUCAUGCAAAACAACAUGCUGCAAUGUUCUGAUGAAAUGCUCCUCUACAGUCGAGGCUCCCAGAAGGCAGAGAGCAUAUUCAUUAACUCAUUCUGCUCAACACUUAGCUCAUGUCCAUGGAGAGAUGUUGAAUAUGAGCUCCUAUUAAAAAGAGGGAAUACAAUCAAUCAUUUGAGAAUGUCCAAAAAGAACUUUUCCUUUCCAUCGAGCCUUACAAAUUAUUCUAAGAUUGUUUCUGUAAAUACCAUGUAAUUGGGAGAGAUACACAGGGAGCGUCAAUUGUGUCUGUAAUGUUUUACUGCUUAUGAUAAAAAGAUCUGAAACUAAUGUGACAAAAUACUAAGAUUUCACAGAAUUCAGUGUUGAGUGUCCUCUAAGUUAUUAUCUUUAUUCUUCAAAUAUUUCAUAAGGAAAAAGAUGGUGGGAACUUACAAUAUUUAUUAUUUUUUUGGAGAAUGGCUGGAUAAUAUACAUUGAAAUCUGCUAAGAAUUUACCAGAAGGAAGGAAAGAGAAACACACACACACACACACACACACACAGAGAGAGAGACAGAGAGAGAGAGAGAGGAAAAAAAAAUAUAUCCUUGGAAUGCCAAGCCCAAAGAUGCAAGUCUAUCUGCCGAUUUAUAAAAGCAAAUAAAGAGAAACCAUCUAAAUGCCAAUAUGAAAGGAUUAGGAAAUAUUUAUAUAUUCACCCAAUAUGUUAAAUAUUCUGUAUACAUUAAAAAUAAUGAAUUAGAAAAAUGGAAAAAACACUUCUUACAAGUGAAAAAAAAUGAGCUACCAAAUAAUAUGGAUGGAUAGUACAAUUCCAUUUCUCUAUAAGAACAGAAAUAGAGAUCCAGGGAGUCAAACAGAUUGACAGACAUAGAUUCUUGAUUUUUUAAAGGCAUAACAUCUACACAUAAAAUAUAAAUAAAUAAGUGCAAAAAC